GUCCUCCUCCAGUGGGAGGUCCUGGUGGAGUGGGAGGUCCUGGUCCUCCUGCAGUGGGAAGUCCUGGUCCUCAUGCAGUGGGAGGUCCUGGUGGGGAGUGAGGUCCUGGUCCUCCUCCAGUGGGAGGUCCUGGUGGAGUGUGAGGUCCUGGUCCUCCUGCAGUGGGAGAUCCUGGUCCUCCUGCAGUGGGAGGUCCUGGUCCUCCUGCAGUGGGAAGUCCUGGUCCUCAUGCAGUGGGAGGUCCUGGUGGGGAGUGAGGUCCUGGUCCUCCUCCAGUGGGAGGUCCUGGUCCUCCUGCAGUGGGAGGUCCUGG